rnacentral:rRNA from 1 species
UACGUAGGUGACAAGCGUUGUCCGGAUUUACUGGGCGUAAAGAGCGCGCAGGCGGUCGUUCAAGUCGAGUGUGAAAGCCCCCGGCUCAACUGGGGAGGGUCACUCGAUACUGAUCGACUCGAAGGCAGGAGAGGGUAGUGGAAUUCCCGGUGUAGUGGUGAAAUGCGUAGAUAUCGGGAGGAACACCAGUGGCGAAGGCGACUACCUGGCCUGUUCUUGACGCUGAGACGCGAAAGCGUGGGGAGCGAACAGG